ensembl:ncRNA Y38F2AR.17 ncRNA
UGAAAUUUAUGAAAAAUGCGAAAAACCGGGCGAAAUAUAAAUGAAAUCAGACAGGCAGCCGUCCGACAGACACACCGCGGCGGCGAACAAACGAAAAACCUCCGACGGGGUGAGUACGGUGUGUGGCUUGGCAUGAUGCCAAGCGGGUUGCAGUUCGAUUUCGUGUGUACCCCUUAUGUGUGGCGGCGUAUGAUGAAGGGGGCACAUACGCCCGGCGUGCAGGUCGGUACGCAAACACCGUGACGCACAGAUGCACACGAAGAGAGACUCGACGGAGACACGUUGUAGUUUUUG